rnacentral:lncRNA from 1 species
UACAAAUGAACAUUCUAAGAACUUAUAUAAGUAUUUAAAUUAAAAACUACAGAACAUUUUUUAAUGAAUAUUUUUUAUGUCAGCAACAUAUAAUUUGGUGGUUGUAUAUCAACUUACUAACAAAAACCAAAAGUACACUCUAACAUUUUAUCAAUCUAAAAAUGCUUUAAAGUAUAUAUCAAUAUAUUUCUCUCUGAGAUUAAAGGAGAGAGUUUCAGAUUUUAUAUAUUCUUUAUUUCAUGAUGUAGGAUGCUUAAGAAUAUAAUUUUAUCCUUUUAAUUGUAUAAAGUUUUAUAUCGAGAUGGUUAUUAGGUAAAGCAUGACUCCACUUGGGAAAAUAAUCUACAAAUUUAAAUUCCCUCUACAAGAAACAAAAUAUGAAAUCUAUAAAGAAUGAAAUUUGAUAAAAAAGAAAUAAAAAAUGUGUGUUCAAAAAAAAAAAAAAAUGAAAACAAAUUUUUGAAUUUAAGCUUGCGAUAUCAGGUUUUAUCAAUUUAUAACUUACAUAAUAGUUUAAUUACUAUAUAUUUUUCAAGGAAAUUGAUGUCGUUCAUAUUAAAAAUAUAAAUAGUAUAUAUAUACUUACAUAAAAUUAAUGAAAUGUUUGUAUUUAGUAAAUUUUUCUUAAUCAUUCUAAAGAUUUUAUUUUCUAUCAAUUUCAUCAAAAUAUAUGUAAUAACUCCAAAAUUUAAAUCUGAAAACAUAUGUGAUGGUUCAAAGAAAAUGGUAUAUAGAUUGUGCGACCACGUAGAAUAUAAUAAGUAUGUUGCGGUCUUGUGGAUUCGGGAAAUGCUAGAUUUUAAGAUUACAAAUCAGUGUUUAUUUUGAUAUUUCGUCUUUUGAAUUCAUAAAAAAGUGAGUAUUUAAAGAUUUUUAAGUAUUAAUUUUUUUUAUCUGGGACUAGAACUUUUUAUUUUGCAUCUAAAACUCAGAAAAGGGAAUAAAGUAAUGCAAAAGAAAAUAAGUAACCCAAAACAAUAAAUAUAAAUCUCGCAUGAAUAUAUCAAAAAUUAAUUUUUAAUUUGUAUGCAAAUACAAAUAGUUUUAUUGAAAUCACUAUCAUUAUGUUAUAUAAUAAUUAAGCCGGUGAUACCGCUUUUGAAACAGACACACAAUAAGCCCAUACUUCAUCUCUUUUCGUUAAAUAUUUGGAUUCGUUUCCGAUUAAACUAGGUCUAUCCGCGAUAUAUUUAACAAGUGUGUCAUGACACUCUUUGCCUUCUUGAACAAGCUCCUUGCAACAAGGAAUGGAUACAACUCCAUCUCCAAAAACUUGAGAAAUGAUCUUGAGCGCACAGUUUGGACUGAUUUUAACAACACAUUGAUCCCAUAACGUUUUUGGCUCAUUUUCUUCUACAGCUAAUGAAGGCACACAUGUAAUCGCCACAACUAGAACAACAAAAGACAACAUAAUAAAAUUAAGCUUCACCAUGGUUGUUAUGUGUUUGAGGAUUUACAGUUUAACUUUUCUCAAGUUAGAGAAAGAAAUAAGUUUUUAAAUUUCUGAUGUUAUUUGAAUAAACGAGGUUUGCCCUAUUUAUAGAUACGAAUAAUCAAUAUUUAACAUAUUUUUUCAACUAAUGAAUUUUGCUUUUGACGUUUUUUUGUUCAUUAACAUGUGUUAAGUUACGUUUUUUGCUGAAGUUAUUAACUGCUUAGGUUUAUAGUUUAUAAAUAAUUAAAUUAGGAUUCUUGUAGUAUAAAAAUGAACAUACUAAGAACUUAUAUAAGUAUUUAAAUUAAAAACUACUGAACAUUUUUUAAUGAAUAUUUUUUAUGUCAGCAACAUAUAAUUUGGUGGUUGUAUAUCAACUUACUAACAAAAACCAAAAGUACACUCUAACAUUUUAUCAAUCUAAAAAUGAUUUAAAGUAUAUAUCAAUAUAUUUCUCUGAGAUUAAAGGAGAGAGUUCCAGAUUUUAUAUAUUCUUUAUUUCAUGAUGUAGGAUGCUUAAGAAUAUAAUUUUAUCCUUUUAAUUGUAUAAAGUUUUAUAUUGAGAUGGUUAUUAGGUAAAACAUGACUCCACUUGGGAAAGUAAUCUACAAAUUUAAAUUCCCUCUACAAGAAACAAAACAUGAAAUCUAUAAAGAAUGAAAUUUAAUAAAAAAGAAAUAAAAAAUGAAACCAAAUUUUUGAAUUUAAACUUGCGGUAUCAUAAUUUAUCAAUUUCUAACUUACAUAAUAGUUUAAUUACUAUAUAUCUUUCAAGGAAAUUAAUGUGUUUCAUAAUAAAAAUAUAAACAGUAUAUAUAUAUACUUACAUAAAACUAACGAAAUGUUAUUUUUAUUCUUGAAUGAAUUUUUUUAAUUGAGUUGAGUCCUUUUAAAAAUGUUUCAUGCCACAGUUUUGAGGUGCGACUCCGUUUGUAUUAGAUUAAUUUUUUUUAAUCAUUCUAAAGAUUUUAUUUUCUAUCAAUUUCAUCAAAAUAUAUGUAAUAACUCCAAAAUUUAAACCUGAAAACAUAUGUGAUGGUUCAAAGAAAAUGGUAUAUAGAUUGUGCGACCACGUGCAAUAUAAUAAGUAUGCUGCGGUCUUGUGGAUUCAAGAAAUGCUAUAUUUUUAAGAUUGCAAAUCAGUGUUUAUUUUGAUAUUUCGUCUUUUUAAUUCAUAAAAACUGUGAGUAUUAAUUUUUUUUUAAGUAUUAAUAUCUUUAAUCUGGGACUAGACCUUUUUAUUUUGCAUCUAAAACUCAGAAAAGGGAAUAUAUAAAGUAAUACAAAAGAAAAUAAGUAACACAAAACGAUAAAUAUAAAUCUCACAUAAAUAAAUUAAAAAAUAUUUUUUAUUUUGUAUGCAAAUACAAAUAGUUUUAUUAAAAUCACAUAUCAUUAUGUUAAAUAAUAAUUAAGCCGGUGAUACCGCUUUUGAAACAAACACACAAUAAGCCCAUACUUCAUCUCUUUUCUUUAAAUAUUUGGAUUCGUUUCCGAUUAAACUAGGUCUAUCCGCGAUAUAUUUGACAAGUGUGUCAUGACACUCUUUGCCUUCUUGAACAAGCUCCUUGCAACAAGGAAUGGAUACAACUCCAUCUCCAAAAAUUUGAGAAAUGAUCUUGAGCGCACAGUUUGGACUGAUUUUAACAACACAUUGAUCCCAUAACUUUUUUGGCUCAUUUUCUUCUACAGCUAAUGAAGGCACACAUGUAAGCGCCACAAUUAGAACAACAAAAGACAACAUAAUAAAAUUAAGCUUCACCAUGGUUGUUAUGUGUUUGAGGAUUUCCAGUUUAACUUUUCUCAAGUUAGAGAAAGAAAUAAGUUUUUAAAUUUCUGAUGUUAUUUGAAUAAACGAAGUUUGCCCUAUUUAUAGAUACGAAUAAUCAAUAUUUAACAUUUAUUUUCGAGUAAUGAAUUUUGCUUUUGAUGUUUUUUUGUUCAUUAACAUGUGUUAAGUUACGUUUUAUGCUGAAGUUAUAAACUGCUUAGGUUUAUAGUUUAUAAAUAAUUAAAUUAGGAUUCUUGUAGUAUAAAAAUGAACAUACUAAGAACUUAUAUAAGUAUUUAAUUUAAAAACUACUGAACAUUAUUUAAUGAAUAUUUUUUAUGUCAGCAACAUAUAAUUUGGUGGUUGUAUAUCAACUUACUAACAAAACCCAAAAGUACACUCUAACAUUUAAUCAAUCUAUAAAUGAUUUAAAGUAUAUAUCAAUAUAUUUCUCUCUGAGAUUAAAAGAGAGAGUUUCAGAUUUUAUAUAUUCUUUAUUUCAUGAUGUAGGAUGCUAAAGAAUAUAUUUUUAUCCUUUUAAUUGUAUAAAGUUGUAUAUCGAGAUGGUUAUUAGGUAAAACAUGACUCCACUUGGGAAAAUAAUCUACAAAUUUAAAUUCCCUCUACAAGAAACAAAAUAUGAAAUCUAUAAAGAAUGAAAUUUGAUAAAAAAGAAAUAGAAAAUGUGUGUUAAAAAAAAUAAAAAUGAAAACAAAUUUUCGAAUUUAAGCUUGCGAUAUCAGGUUUUAUCAAUUUAUAACUUACAUAAUAGUUUAAUUACAAUAUAUUUUUCAAGGAAAUUGAUGUCGUUCAUAU